AGCGGCGAGCGAGCGGGAAGAGCUCAAAUUUAUAAUCUGGCACCUUCGGUGUCCGAGUUGUAAUCUCUAGAAAUGUUUUCCGCGUUGGACCGCACACAAGUCUGUUGGAAUACAGCGGCAUAGUGGUGAGACCCCCGUAUAUGGUGCGGACGCCCAGCGCUUUGUGAUACAUUUUCGAAGAGUCGAGUUGUUUGGGAAUGCAGCUCAAAUUGGGUGGUAAAUUCCAUCUAAAGCUAAAUAUUGGCGAGAGACCGAUAGCGAACAAGUACCGUGAGGGAAAGAUGAAAAGCACUUUGGAAAGAGAGUUAACAGUACGUGAAAUUGUUGGAAGGGAAACGCUUGAAGUCAGACUUGCUUGCCGAGCAAUCGGUUUGCAGGCCAGCAUCAGUUUUCCGGGAUGGAUAAUGGUAGAGAGAAGGUAGCAGUUUCGGCUGUGUUAUAGCUCUCUGCUGGAUACAUCUUGGGGGACUGAGGAACGCAGUGUGCCUUUGGCGGGGGUUUCGACCUCUUCACACUUAGGAUGCUGGUGGAAUGGCUUUAAACGACCCGUCUUGAACCC
rnacentral:rRNA from 1 species